CAAGACCUUGCGCUGAAGGAGCGGCCGAUGUCUGAUUAGCUAGUUGGUGGGGUAAAGGCUUACCAAGGCAACGAUCAGUAGCUGGUCUGAGAGGACGACCAGCCACACUGGGACUGAGACACGGCCCAGACUCCUACGGGAGGCAGCAGUGGGGAAUUUUGGACAAUGGGCGCAAGCCUGAUCCAGCAAUGCCGCGUGAGUGAAGAAGGCCUUCAGGUUGUAAAGCUCUUUCAGUCGAGAAGAAAAGGCUGCAGUGAAUAACUGUAGUUUAUGACGGUAUCGACAGAAGAAGCACCGGCUAACUACGUGCCAGCAGCCGCGGUAAUACGUAGGGUGCGAGCGUUAAUCGGAAUUACUGGGCGUAAAGGGUGCGCAGGCGGUUUUGUAAGUCAGAUGUGAAAUCCCCGGGCUUAACCUGGGAAUU
rnacentral:rRNA from 1 species